rnacentral:tRNA from 1 species
GAAGUAGUGGUGUAGAAAGGACUUCUAAUCCUAAUCUAGAGUGGUUUAACUCCAUUCCUAUUUCU